AACGAACGCUGGCGGCAUGCCUAACACAUGCAAGUCGAACGAAGGCUUCGGCCUUAGUGGCGCACGGGUGCGUAACGCGUGGGAAUCUGCCCCUCGGUUCGGAAUAACAGUUAGAAAUGACUGCUAAUACCGGAUGAUGUCUUCGGACCAAAGAUUUAUCGGCAAGGGAUGAGCCCGCGUAGGAUUAGGUAGUUGGUGGGGUAAAGGCCUACCAAGCCGACGAUCCUUAGCUGGUCUGAGAGGAUGAUCAGCCACACUGGGACUGAGACACGGCCCAGACUCCUACGGGAGGCAGCAGUGGGGAAUAUUGGACAAUGGGCGCAAGCCUGAUCCAGCAAUGCCGCGUGAGUGAUGAAGGCCUUCGGGUCGUAAAGCUCUUUUACCAGGGAUGAUAAUGACAGUACCUGGAGAAUAAGCUCCGGCUAACUCCGUGCCAGCCGCCGCCGUAAAAC
rnacentral:rRNA from 1 species